UUCAAACUAAAACUUAAUAAGUCGAAUUCAAAGAAAGACAGGAAGUUACAAUUCUUAAGUUACGGCGCAUGCGCUUUUUUCCGAACUUUCGCUUUUUAUCAAAAACGUAAACAAAAUUUAGAAACAAAUCAGUAAGGCCCCGGCCUGAGACGCCUAAUUUAGAUUUGCUCAUAAAGUCUUUCAAAGUUUUCUUCAAUGUUGUGAUUAAACAUUAAUAGUAUAAAAUAACCAUCUGCACAAGUUCUCCAGUGAUGAAAAGUAAUAAUAACAAUUAUGAGACAAUGAAGGUACCAAGUGAAAUGAGUGAUACAGAUGACAAUAAUGUUUGGAAUGUACGCAAGAAUAAUGAAUUUGAAGAAAGUACAGCAUCAUCAAAUGUGAAUUUUCCCAUCAAUGCUGUAAAUAUGCACAUAAAGCACACAAAAAGAGAUGUAGAAAUUUCGGAGGAUGAUCAGGUAAAAGAAAGUCAUGAUGAUGAUGGUUUUGUUUCAAUAUCAUCUGAUCACGAAGACCAGGAGGUCAUACAAUUACAAAAAACUUCAGAUGAUUUACAAACAUUCAAAGAAGCUGAGUAAUCAAGUGAUGAGAAUGAAACAUCAAAUUCAGCAAGGUAAUGUUGAACCUAGGACUGUCAAUGAAACUAUAACAGAACUAGUUUCUGAUGAGACUCAAUCUAUGCUUGAUGAAACUAUUAAAAGUGAUUAGGAAUCAAGUUAUUAUUCACAUAACUUAUGACCUUUGACUAGCAGUACAGUCCUGGAGCUGCCUGGAGGAUUAAGAGCAAAGCCAAACACACCAGCAAGCCUAAAUAUUUUUAUCCAACAAUACUAUACAAGAAAAGUGAAGACUGUGUGUGGAAGUUUGCCAGAGGCAAGCUUUGGAUUUCUUUCAUAGAGCAAGGGACAACACUCUCAAUACCUUUUGAUAUCAUUCCAACACCUAUAGCUGUGGUGAGACUAUUUCGAGGUCUCAGGAAUGUAUUUCUUAUCAAUUGGUAAUCAUGCAUCACAUGCCCUCAGAUAUGUACACAAAAUGAAGUUUGAGGAGAAAGAGAAAGGAUCAAGAUGAUUUACAAGACACUAAAGUUAUCUAUCAACUAUACUCAAUGUAUGAAUGACUUGCAGCCAGACUAGAAUUAUAGAGAAAGAUGUUUUUCUGCUGGCUAAACAUGUAUGGGGUCUGUUCCAUCACAUCCAGUCAAUAAAGGAAUAAUAUCUAUGAUGUCAGACAACAAUAAAGAUCCAUUUCUGUAGAAGAAGAUCUCACUACCAUGAACACUCUAGGGCUAGGGAGACAUGAACUACAUGAAGACAAUUUUGGGAUGGAGGAAACCACACAGAGACUUCAAUGGGGAACAAAAGUCAAAUGGAGUGUGUUCAAAGGACAUGAUGCCAGUAAAAUGAGAAAAUAGAGUGGAAGAGAGUCCAGAGUUUGUUUUGCUCCCGAUUCAAUAGAGAACAAAGUUAAGAUUAGCGAUGGAGAUAAAAGGAAUCUCUAAAACAAUAAUUCUUAUCAAAAUCCAACAAUCUCUAUUCAAACUAUUAAUCUAAGCAGUAACAUGACAACUAUUUGAACCAAAGAGUGAAGGUCACGUGAGGACAGUUUUCAACACUAGAGUUACAGUACUAGUCCUCGGUGGAAUCAAGGAGUCAUUAAAGAAUCAUUCUGGAAGAUCAAAUUAAUACAAGCACUGAACAGCAGACAGGAAUGGAAAAUAUGGCCAACAGAUCUUGUGUGGUGCCCCAAUGGUCAAACAACUAAGGGAUAGAUAAUGAUGCAGAGAAUUUCCUGGUGAUCAAUAAUUAGGAGCUGCACACAGUUUAAUGAAACCAUAUUUUAGGAACAGAUAGAAAACAAAGAACUGCAGCAAAGAUGGCCUGUUUUUAUUCUUCUUCAU